GUGAGGAUGACGAAAAAAUCAUUCGGAUUCCCUUUGAAUUCCUCCGGGAAACAUGUGAUUAUAUAAUCAGCUACUUCUGACUCAU
rnacentral:snoRNA from 14 species